rnacentral:sRNA from 1 species
CUUCAGGAUCGCUAGGGUUCCGGUCGCGCGGCGUCACACGCCGCACGAUGCCUGGUCCGAGAGCAAUCCGGUCUUGCCGCCUGCCUUGUUGCGAGGCUCCGGCGAGGCUCCACGGAGGGACAAAAGCCCGGGAGGU